rnacentral:ncRNA from 1 species
GGUGGGGAUGACGUCAAGUCCGCAUGGCCCUUAUGGGCUGGGCCACACACGUGCUACAAUGGCAAUGACAAUGGGAAGCAAGGCUGUAAGGCGGAGCGAAUCCGGAAAGAUUGCCUCAGUUCGGAUUGUUCUCUGCAACUCGGGAACAUGAAGAUGAAAUCGCUAGUAAUCGCGGAUCAGCAUGCCGCGGUGAAUAUGUACCCGGGCCCUGUACACACCGCCCGUCACACCCUGGGAAUUGGUUUCGCCCGAAGCAUCGGACCAAUGAUCACCCAUGACUUCUGUGUACCACUAGUGCCACAAAGGCCUU